AACACUGAAGCUAAGGGAAUUCUGGUGUCUAACAGACACCUUCCGUGUGAGCUGAGCCUUCAGAAAGGCUCACUGUCUCUCACGUGAGACAAAUGUAUGUUGUUCCCAAUUUCUUAACGGGUUUUUAGAGGAUGUUUUUCUUUUCCCCAGCUCUCUGUUUUAUGGGGACGCACCAACAGAGGUGAAAAAUCUGCCUAGAAUAUAUGCUGGGCCCUGACAAGAAAGGCAGGGAAUAGACCAUGAAAACCUUAUAUCUUACAGGUUUGUUGUGAGAAAACUGUGUUGUGGGGUUGCUUGUUUUCUAAAGAGCUCUAAUUUAUCAGGGAAUACGUAAAGGUUGUGGUGCCAGGAAAGGUGAUGGAGGAGAAGAAGAAAGGGACCAGUUAAUUGUUCAGUUCUUGGUAUCAGGUACUGCUAGAUGCUUAUUUAAUAAGACUUGAGUCAUGAUGUGUGUGGUGGUUAGGAAAAUGAAAACCUCUUCAUCUCAAAGGAAGAAGUAACUUGGAAAAGCCAAGAAAACUGCACCUGGGAGAUUUCUAAGGAGGAGUGACACCCUUGCACAUGUUCAUAUUGUUGACCGUUCAACAUUUCUACGAAAACAAGGAGGAGAACAUGCAUCAUGCUUCCAGUCACUCUUUCUUGAAUGAUCAACGUGGUUGACAUGAAUGCACCUACCUGAGCCCCUCUCCUGCGAAGCAUUAGAGCAGAACUGGAUGAAGAACAGCCAUUCCAUCCCAUGGAAAGCUCUUGAGGUUUUUGAAGUCUCUCUGUAUCUUUUGUGGGAACAAAAUACAAAGCAGCCCCUUUCAAAUGCAUUUGGAAAAGAGAGCUGCGUUUA